rfam:Chelonia mydas contig235371, whole genome shotgun sequence.
GUUUCUGUAGUGUAGUGAUUAUCAUGUUCGCCUAACACAUGAAAAGACCCUGGUUCGAAACCAGGCAGAAACA